AAAUUUAGCUGUUUUUUCUUUCGACGUUUUCGUCCCUACCUCGCGGUUGGGGCUCGCGGCUCUCGCGGCCCGCCUGUGCUACUGCUGCACCCGCACGGCCGCGCGCACCUCCACCGCAACGGUCACUUCUAGCUCUCGUGCAGUCGUGCGUCCUCCAUCGUCGCCUCUCCUCCCGCGGUCAGGGUAACGCCGCGUGUCUCCCGUCGCAUACUCGCUCACACCCAUGGCCGCACCGCCGGCCGCCUCGCUAGUGGCACGCGCCGCCCUCCCGCCGCGCCUUCGCCCAACCACCGCUUCUCCCCUUGGCCCCGCCGUCCUCGGUCCCAGCAGCCGCCGCCGGUACCUCCGUCUCCGCCGCUCGCCAUCGCUGGCGGGGACUGCCGCGGCGGCGGCGAGCUCCCCAUCCGUGCCUUCCUCGUUUCCGGGGCCCGGGCCAGGUAUCGGCGAUGCCCUCGGCGACGUCGAAAUCUACUCCGCGGCCACCGGCGAGCCCGUCCUGUUCAGAGACCUGUGGGACCAGGACGAGGGAGUGUCUGUUGUUGCGCUGCUAAGGCAUUUCGGGUGCCCAUGCUGCUGGGAGUUGGCCUCUGUUCUGAGGGACACAAAGGAGAGAUUUGAUUCUGCUGGAGUAAAACUGAUUGCUGUUGGUGUUGGCACUCCAGCUAAAGCCCGUAUUCUUGCCGAGCGCUUGCCCUUUCCGUUGGAAUACCUCUAUGCUGAUCCUGAUCGGAAGGCGUAUAAUCUCUUGGGUCUAUAUUUUGGUGUUGGUCGCACGUUCUUCAAUCCGGCCAGUGCGAAAGUGUUUUCACGGUUUGACUCCCUUAAGGAGGCGGUGAAGAAUUAUACAAUCGAAGCCACCCCAGAUGACAGGGCAGGUGUCCUACAACAGGGGGGAAUGUUUGUGUUCAAAGGUAAAGAACUGUUGUACGCAAGGAAAGACGAGGGCACAGGCGACCAUGCACCUUUGGACGAUGUGCUCAAUAUCUGCUGCAAAGUUCCUGUAACCUAACCCGACGGCUUGUCCCACAGCUCAGUAGGCACAUUGUCUUUCAUCCAUUCUCUUUUGGCAAUUGGCGUUAGCAGAUCCCUUAUCUUGUUCACAAGCUGGACAAGUAGGUACUUGGAAAGCACUUUCGGCGUCCUUGAUUCCUGAACUUCCAGGAUCGCCUGCUGCAAGAGUGUCUUCUCCACCAAUGUGCCGAUAUUUUCUUUUGAGAUGCUUGGUUUACUUUGAUAUCUUUUUGGUGAUGGAUCGUGAGUUGUUGGCUUGUUGCAUUAUGAAUUGCGUACUGUAAGUAUCCAGUUUGCUGUUUAGCACUUAUACAAUUCGAAAGCAAAGUUCGAAGUCCUGGCUGCCUGGCUCUUCCUUGGAGAUGGAAGUUUUUGCACUUCCAGAAAUAUCGGGAACAUAAAGUCCAUGUGAUCUUUUGUGCCUUUAAAAUUUUGGAUCGUUUCCUAAUGGAAAUCUGUUCCAGUUUUAUUGACAUCAGAAA